AUUGAACGCUGGCGGCAUGCCUUACACAUGCAAGUCGAACGGCAGCACGGGAGCAAUCCUGGUGGCGAGUGGCGAACGGGUGAGUAAUAUAUCGGAACGUGCCCAGUCGUGGGGGAUAACGUAGCGAAAGCUACGCUAAUACCGCAUACGAUCUAUGGAUGAAAGCGGGGAUCGCAAGACCUCGCGCGAUUGGAGCGGCCGAUAUCAGAUUAGGUAGUUGGUGAGGUAAAGGCUCACCAAGCCGACGAUCUGUAGCUGGUCUGAGAGGACGACCAGCCACACUGGGACUGAGACACGGCCCAGACUCCUACGGGAGGCAGCAGUGGGAAUUUUGGACAAUGGGCGCAAGCCUGAUCCAGCAAUGCCGCGUGCAGGAUGAAGGCCUUCGGGUUGUAAACUGCUUUCGUACGGAACGAAACGGUGAGCUCUAAUACAGUUUGCUAAUGACGGUACCGUAAGAAUAAGCACCGGCUAACUACGUG
rnacentral:rRNA from 1 species